GAUGAACGCUAGCGGGAGGCCUAAUACAUGCAAGUCGAACGGUAACAGGGUAGCAAUACCGCUGACGAGUGGCGUACGGGUGCGUAACGCGUACACAAUCUACCUCAUACUGGGGCAUACCCUUUGGAAACGAAGAUUAAUUCCCCAUAAUAUAUACGAAAGGCAUCUUUUUGUAUAUUAAAGCUCAGGCGGUAUGAGAUGAGUGUGCGUCCGAUUAGGUAGUUGGUGAGGUAACGGCUCACCAAGCCUACGAUCGGUAGCUGGUCUGAGAGGAUGAUCAGCCACACGGGCACUGAGACACGGGCCCGACUCCUACGGGAGGCAGCAGUAGGGAAUAUUGGACAAUGGACGCAAGUCUGAUCCAGCCAUCCCGCGUGAAGGAUUAAGGCCCUCUGGGUUGUAAACUUCUUUUCUCUGGGAAUAAAAACUCCGAUUCUUCGGAGCCUGAAGGUACCAGAGGAAUAAGCACCGGCUAACUCCGUGCCAGCAGCCGCGGUAAAGU
rnacentral:rRNA from 1 species